CAUGUUCCAACAGCUUGAUGUUCACCCCGCGUUACCCUUCUCUUGGAUCCCCACAGAGUGUGUGCCAAACAUGCACACGUUGCUGUUUGCCUGUGGCAGCAGCAUGGCAGCUGACACGAAAUUCUGUCACUGCCACGCAAUCACUGGUUAGAAUAGCUUCUGAACAAACAACAAGCUCAUUACUCUCCGCGGUCUCUGACAGAAUAUGACUUCUAACCAAGCUCCACUGUCGUCGCCAUUGUCCCCGCUUCCAUGGCAACGAGGACUCUUUCUGUCCCCUGUGCCAGGUUUUCUGUCCCCAUCUUCUUGAAACCUACAGACUGAAAGCGGAGC
ensembl:lncRNA